rnacentral:rRNA from 1 species
AGGGCAUACGGUGAAUGCCUUGGCGUUAGAAGUCGAUGAAGGACGUGGUCAGCUGCGAUAAGCUGCGGGUAGGUGCACUCAACUGUUAAUCCGCAGAUUUCCGAAUGGGGGAACCCAGCUAGGGUCAUGCCUAGUUACUUCUUGUUGAAUAAAAUAGACAAGAUAGAGACAACCCGGAGAACUGAAACAUCUAAGUACCCGGAGGAAGAGAAAUCAACCGAGAUUUCCCUAGUAGCGGCGAGCGAACGGGAAACAGCCUAAACCCAUGCAUGUGUAAGCUUGGUGGCGUUGCUGCAUGUGGUGUUGUAGGGCUAAAUAUUCUUAGGGCACCUAACCUAAGACGAAGUUACAAAGUGUUGUAUUAGAGGAACGACUUGGAACAGUCGGCUAUAAAGGGUAAAAGCCCCGUACUUUAAAAUGCAGCGCCUUCGAAUUUAGUUCCUGAGUACUGCCGAACACGUGAAAUUCGGUAGGAAUCUGGGGGGCCCACCCUCCAAGGCUAAAUACUCUCUAACGACCGAUAGUGAACCAGUACCGUGAGGGAAAGGUGAAAAGCACCCCGAGAGGGGAGUGAAAUAGUACCUGAAACCGUAUGCCUACAAGCAGUCGGAGCCCGGAAAGCCAGUUUACUGGCAGGGUGACGGCGUGCCUUUUGUAGAAUGAGCCAGGGAGUUAUGGUGUGUAGCAAGGUUAAGCUUAAAGCGAGCCGCAGCGAAAGCGAGUCUUAAUAGGGCGCAUAGUUAUACAUCAUAGACGCGAAGCCAAGUGAUCUAUCCAUGGGCAGGCUGAAGCGAAGGUAAGACUUCGUGGAGGGCCGAACCCACUUCGGUUGAAAACGGAGGGGAUGACCUGUGGAUUGGAGUGAAAGGCUAAUCAAACUUGGAGAUAUCUCGUUCUCCCCGAAAUAGCUUUAGGGCUAGCGUUGCGCGUUUUGUACCGGUGGUAGAGCACUGGAUCGUCUAGGGGGCUUCACCGCUUACCGAAAUGAACCAAACUCCGAAUGCCGGUACUUUAGAGCGCAGCAGUCAGAAUAUGUGGGCUAAGCUGUGUAUUCAAAAGGGAAACAGCCCAGACCGCCUGCUAAGGUCCCAAAAUAUAUGCUAAGUGGAAAAGGAUGUGCGUUUGCUCAGACAACCAGGAUGUUGGCUUAGAAGCAGCCAUUCAUUUAAAGAGUGCGUAACAGCUCACUGGUCAAGUGGACAUGCGCCGACAAUUCACGGGGCUUAAGCAUAUUACCGAAGCAGCGGACUUCACAUAUGUGGAGUGGUAGGGGAGCAUUCUGUACUGGGUUGAAGCUGGCGGGUAACCGUCUGUGGACUGUACAGAAGAGCGAAUCCUGGCAUGAGUAACGAGAGAAGUGCGAGAAACACUUCCGCCGAAUAUCUAAGGGUUCCUGGGCAAGGCUAAUCCUCCCAGGGUCAGUCGGGAGCUAAGGCGAGGCCGCAAGGCGUAGUCGAUGCACAACAGGUAGAUAUUCCUGUACUAGUAUAAAUGCGUUAUUACCAAUGGAGUGACGGAGAAAGGUAGCCGAGCGUGGUUCUGGAUGUCCACGUGAAAGGUUGUAGGGCGAAAAGUAGGUAAAUCCGCUUUUCAUAAAGCCUGAGAACUGAGACGAAGCGAUUGAGCGAAGUCGGUGAUCCUAUGCUUUCGAGAAAAACUUCUAGGGAGUGUUUAUGCUACCCGUACCCCAAACCGACACAGGUAGAUAGGUAGAAAAUACCAAGGCGAUCGAGAGAACUAUGGUUAAGGAACUCGGCAAAAUGGCUCCGUAACUUCGGGAGAAGGAGCGCCGGUUUUGGUGAUGAGACUUGCUCUCUGAGCUGAGGCUGGCCGCAGUGAAAUGGCCCAAGCGACUGUUUACUAAAAACACAGGACUCUGCUAAAUCGUAAGAUGACGUAUAGGGUCUGACGCCUGCCCGGUGCUGGAAGGUUACGUGGAUGGGUUAGCCUUCGGGCGAAGCUUUGAAACUAAGCCCCAGUAAACGGCGGCCGUAACUAUAACGGUCCUAAGGUAGCGAAAUUCCUUGUCGGGUAAGUUCCGACCUGCACGAAUGGCGUAACGACUUCUCCACUGUCUCAACCACGAACUCGGCGAAAUUGCACUACGAGUAAAGAUGCUCGUUACGCGCAGCAGGACGGAAAGACCCCGGGACCUUUACUAUAGUUUGGUAUUGGUGAUCGGUGUGACUUGUGUAGGAUAGGUGGGAGACUUUGAAGCUUGGACGCCAGUUCAGGUGGAGUCAUCGUUGAAAUACCACUCUGGUCACUCUGGUUAUCUAACCUAGGUCCAUUAUCUGGAUCAGGGACAGUGCCUGAUGGGUAGUUUGACUGGGGCGGUCGCCUCCUAAAAGGUAACGGAGGCGCCCAAAGGUUCCCUCAGAAUGGUUGGAAAUCAUUCGCAGAGUGUAAAGGCACAAGGGAGCUUGACUGCGAGACCUACAAGUCGAGCAGGGACGAAAGUCGGGCUUAGUGAUCCGGUGGUUCCGCAUGGAAGGGCCAUCGCUCAACGGAUAAAAGCUACCCUGGGGAUAACAGGCUUAUCUCCCCCAAGAGUUCACAUCGACGGGGAGGUUUGGCACCUCGAUGUCGGCUCAUCGCAUCCUGGGGCUGGAGCAGGUCCCAAGGGUAUGGCUGUUCGCCAUUUAAAGCGGUACGCGAGCUGGGUUUAGAACGUCGUGAGACAGUUCGGUCCCUAUCCACCGUGGGCGUAGGAAAAUUGAAGGAAUCUGUCCCUAGUACGAGAGGACCGGGAUGGACGAACCUCUGGUGAACCAGUUGUCAACCAAUGGCACUGCUGGGUAGCUACGUUCGGAAUGGAUAACCGCUGAAAGCAUCUAAGCGGGAAGCCAAUCCUGAGAUGAGUUUUCCCACUAGUUUAUCUAGGUAAGAUCCCUCCUAGACUAGGAGGUUGAUAGGCUGCAGGUGUAAGUGUAGUAAUAUACUCAGCCGAGCAGUACUAAUUGAUCGAGGUCUUAUUU